GUGGGGAAUAUUGGACAAUGGGCGAAAGCCUGAUCCAGCCAUGCCGCGUGUGUGAAGAAGGUCUUCGGAUUGUAAAGCACUUUAAGUUGGGAGGAAGGGUAGUAACCUAAUACGUUGCUACUUUGACGUUACCGACAGAAUAAGCACCGGCUAACUUCGUGCCAGCAGCCGCGGUAAUACGAAGGGUGCAAGCGUUAAUCGGAAUUACUGGGCGUAAAGCGCGCGUAGGUGGUUCAGUAAGUUGGAAGUGAAACCCCCGGGCUCAACCUGGGAACUGCUUUCAAAACUGCUGAGCUAGAGUACGGUAGAGGGUGGUGGAAUUUCCUGUGUAGCGGUGAAAUGCGUAGAUAUAGGAAGGAACACCAGUGGCGAAGGCGACCACCUGGACUGAUACUGACACUGAGGUGCGAAAGCGUGGGGAGCAAACAGGAUUAGAUACCCUAGUAGUCC
rnacentral:rRNA from 1 species